UUACCGAGUGCGGGUCCUUUGGGCCCAACCUCCCAUCCGUGUCUAUUAUACCCUGUUGCUUCGGCGGGCCCGCCGCUUGUCGGCCGCCGGGGGGGCGCCUUUGCCCCCCGGGCCCGUGCCCGCCGGAGACCCCAACACGAACACUGUCUGAAAGCGUGCAGUCUGAGUUGAUUGAAUGCAAUCAGUUAAAACUUUCAACAAUGGAUCUCUUGGUUCCGGCAUCGAUGAAGAACGCAGCGAAAUGCGAUAACUAAUGUGAAUUGCAGAAUUCAGUGAAUCAUCGAGUCUUUGAACGCACAUUGCGCCCCCUGGUAUUCCGGGGGGCAUGCCUGUCCGAGCGUCAUUGCUGCCCUCAAGCCCGGCUUGUGUGUUGGGUCGCCGUCCCCCUCUCCGGGGGGACGGGCCCGAAAGGCAGCGGCGGCACCGCGUCCGAUCCUCGAGCGUAUGGGGCUUUGUCACAUGCUCUGUAGGAUUGGCCGGCGCCUGCCGACGUUUUCCAACCAUUUUUUCCAGGUUGACCUCGGAUCAGGUAGGGAUACCCGCUGAACUUAAGCAUAUCAAUAAGCGGAGGAAAAGAAACCAACCGGGAUUGCCUCAGUAACGGCGAGUGAAGCGGCAAGAGCUCAAAUUUGAAAGCUGGCUCCUUCGGAGUCCGCAUUGUAAUUUGCAGAGGAUGCUUUGGGUGCGGCCCCCGUCUAAGUGCCCUGGAACGGGCCGUCAGAGAGGGUGAGAAUCCCGUCUUGGGCGGGGUGUCCGUGCCC
rnacentral:rRNA from 1 species